rnacentral:lncRNA from 1 species
GCUGAGAAACUUUGUGGCUCUCAUUUUAAUAUGGAACCGAACUGUCUACAGCAGCACUGAAGAUGAUGCUGGUUGGUUUCGCAUUCCAAUUGAUAAGGUGGGCGAAAGCCUCUUUCUAAGCAGUCACUCUGGCACGACUCAUGAGUACAACCCGCUAAAUCUCUGCAUGAGCGUCGUUGAAGUACAAUGCAAUACAUCACAUAAUAAAAAAAUAGUAAUACAAUCCAUAAAACAAAAAUAUUUGUUGAUAGAUUAAUUAAUUUCAAUAUUUGGAAACAUCAUGUAAAAUAUAAAUAAUGUUGCUUACUUGCUUGGCAAGACGGCAACGUUGAGAACAUGAAGACAACGACCAAUAAAGCAACAGCUAUGUUGUACAUGAUCAUCCUUGUGUUUCUCUUGAUGAGUUCCAUGAGGAAAAAUGUGACUUAUGUUCGAUCUUUGUUUUUCAUUUCCAAGCUCCUUUACAGGUGUUUAUAUAGACGCACAAUAAAAUCUUAGAUAUCAGUUGGUUAAUUUCAUGCAUUUAUGUACCUCCCCUAAUUAGUAUCAGCAUAUUUUGCUAGUUUUACAUAAAUACCAAAGAUUUUAUUUCACAAAAAAUAUAUGUUUCAUCAUUAUGGCAUUUAAUGUUGAAGAUAGCAUAUUGAGCCAAAAUAAAAUCUUUAGGUAUCGGCACUGCAUUUAUGUCUCCAUUAUAAAAUAGUACCCAUACCGAUCUUGUUGGCUAUUUUGUAUCAUCCACACUUAUGUAAGUAUAUCUUACAUUUAUUUUACAUUAUUGUUUGUGUGGUAUAUAGUUUUAGUAUAUACAGAGGCUUGCACAAUCAAAUCUUAUGCAUUGAUGAAUCUUGCAUAUACUUGAUCUCAAAAAUAAAUAUUGCUGGAGUACUCCAUACUCAUGAAUAUUAGUUAUCAAUAUUGCACUUUUUCUGCUAAAUUAAUGUUGAUGUAUCUUAUUGAAUCUUAAUAAAUAUCAUGCAAUCAUUUGUAUAUGUUAUGAUUAUUGAUAUUUUUUGCGGCAUUUAUUGACCUCUAUUAUAUGGUGGCAUGCAAAAUUAUUGAUAUUGCUUCUUUUCGCUUCAUUUGUAUUAUACAUUGCUAUAAAUUUUGCAUUUAUAUUCAAUCAACAAUAAAUAAAUGCUUGGACAAACGUAAGCUUGUACUUACUGACGAAUAUGCAGCCCGUUAGUAGCAACACCAUUGUAGUAAACAUUUCAGAGUUUUUCCCGUUAUGCUUAUAACCGGCUAUAAUAAUUGAUCUUUAAUGUUUCAUGCUUCAGGGUAUUUAUACAAAUGUCUCCCAUUUUAUUGAACAAAUGGAAGGGCACAACAACCAAGAUCUUUCUUGUGGGUCUUGCAUAAUUGGAAACUGAUUACAUGGUUUCAUGCUUAUGCACAUCUUAUUAUUCCUUAGUUAACGUAGGAUUUGCAGUACUUUAUGCUUGAGUUGAUGUAUGUCAUCUGAAUCAGAAUGGAGCCUGAACCAAAUUGUAUGACUCAUUUUCACUAGGUGCACAUACUGCUGCUCUUCUAUAUGGAAUGUGAUACUGGGGUAUUAAUACUUAGUGUUGCUAUCUCAGAUAUUGCUAAAAAAAAGUCUCCGGUUUUGUAACUUGGUACGCUCGAGUGGUGCAAUACUUUUCAACUAUUUGCACCUUUCAUUUAAAAACAUUGUAACCCAUUGACGCUGAAAAGUGGCACGAUCAUAAAGAGUAGCUUGAACUAUGUCAAGAUUAAUUCAGACUUAUUAUUGAAGUCACUAUGGGAUGGAUCUCUUCCAGAAGAUCAAAAUGGAUAUGAAGAUGGUCUAAAACAGAGCCCCGAUGCAGAAGUUGUGACAAGUUCAAAGAUUGGAUAUAGUAUCGACCCUACUAUCUCGGUAGGCGAACCGGGACUAAAGGCAUUAGGCUUUAGUACCGACCCUAUAGUCCCGGUUCCCGAACCGGGACAAAUGGGCGUUAUGAACCGGGACAAACGGGCCUUUUUCUACUAGUGCAUACUGGACCUACCCAAUAAAUAUUUCAGAAAUUCAUAAUAAUCCUAGAGGCUAGCUUGGACAAUUCACGCAUGUCAAGAGGUGGGACUAAAAUUUAGUCCCACAUUGCUAGUUGAGAGAGAGUUACACCUCCACAUAAGGUGAGCUCUUUCCCCACUUGUAUGAGCAUGAUAAAAAGAGAGAUUCUCACACGCUCCUCCCCUGCCGCCCGCCUUGCCUCAUCACGACACACUGCGUCGCGCCACGGGCUAUGGGAAUGCCUAGAGCAUGCAUGAAGCUGAGGUGUUUUGUUGAUGUAGUUAGUGGAGAUUGGUUACAAGGUUUGUUCGGCUUUGGCUGCUAUGUCUCCGUUUCCUGUCUCUUUGUUUCAUUUCCUGUCACAGCCUAUUUGCCUCCUCUUUCUGUGCUUAUAAAAUAGAGGUAUCUCCUCUCCAUAGACACACAUAAACAGAGCACCACUUGCCUCCUACUACCAUGUUCCAGAGCACUACGCUACCAGGUUCUUCUCCAUCCCGGCUUAUGGCGUGCAUCACCGAUAGGGACAGUAGGCCUCCGGAACCACGCGACAUUGAGUCAUGCACGGGUGAAGGGAAAUAAGGUGUUUGGGGAGCGCUCUGUGCGACUACUGGCUUCUCCACCCCAGAUGUCGCUACAGAUGUUGAAGACACUUUCCCCAAUGAUGACUUCUUUUAGGACAUCGGCAACCUCUUCGGUAACAAGGGAAAUAACAUCACGAAUGGCGCCGCCCCUGCUCCUGUCUAGGACAUGUUCACUUCUCCUCUAUUUAAUAUGUUUUUAUCCUAAUUUUAGUUCAAUUUCAUGUUCUAGCAAUUGGACUACAUAUGCCAUGUUCAAAUUCACUACUACAUAUGUUAUUUUCUCACUCUCUGAUAGACUACAUGUCUAGUUUAAUCUUUACUAUUAUGGUCAUGUUUUAUCUACUAUUUUUAUGGAUUAAAUCACAUGGUAAACUGCUCAUAUUUCCAACACGCCCCAUGUACAUGUAUGGGUGUAACAAACACAUCCUAUGAGGCCAGUCUCCCUUCAUCAAAAUGUUCCAUGGCAAUCCAAUGAGAUUGAUGCCUCUAAUACCUAUGUUUAUCAGAAAAUAUAAGUUUAUUCAAUUAUUGGCAUCAGUAUACAGCAUUGCAUUGCAUAAGCUAAGAAACUUUGUGGCUCUCAUUUUAAUAUGGAACCGAACUGUCUACAGCAGCACUGAAGAUGAUGCUGGUUGGUUUCGCAUUCCAAUUGAUAAGGUGGGCGAAAGCCUCUUUCUAAGCAGUCACUCUGGCAAGACUCAUGAGUGCAACCCACUAAAUCUCUGCAUGAGCGUCGUUGAACUACAAUGCAAUACAUCACAUAAUAAAAAAAUUAGUAAUACAGUCUAUAAAACAAAAAUAUUUGCUCAUAGAUUAAUUAAUUUCAACAUUUGGAAACAACAUGUAAAAUAUAAAUAAUGUUGCUUACUUGCUUGGCAGGACGGCAACGUUGAGAACAUGAACACAAUGACCAAUAAGGCAACAGCUAUGUUGUACAUGACAAUCCUUGUGUUUCUCUUGAUGAGGUGCCAUGAGGAAAAAUGUGACUUAUGUUCGAUCUUUGUUUUUCAUUUCCAUGCUCCUUUACAGGUGUUUAUAUAGACGCACAAUAAAAUCUUAGAUAUCAAUUGGUUGAUUUCAUGCAUUUAUGUACCUUCCCUAAUUAGUAUCAGCGUAUCUUGCUAGUUUUACAUAAAUACCAAAGAUUUUAUUUUGGAAAAAUAUAUAUAUUUCAUCAUUAUAGCAUUUAAUGUUGAAGAUAACAUAUUGAGCCAAAAUAAAAUCUUUAGGUAUCGGCACUACAUUUAUGUCUCCAUUAUAAAAUAGUACCCAUACCAAUCUUGUUGGCUAUUUUGUAUCAUCCACACUUAUGUAAGUAUAUCUUACAUUUAUUUUACAUUAUUUUUUGUGUGGUAUAUUGUUUUAGUAUAUACAGAGGCUUGCACAAUCAAAUCUUAUGCAUUGAUGAACCUUGCAUAUACAAGAUCUCAAAAAUAUAUAUUGCUGGAGUACUCCAUACUCAUGAAUAUUAGGUAUCAAUAUUGCACUUUUUCUGCUAAAUUAAUGUUGAUGUAUCUUACUGAAUCUUUAUAAAUAUCAUGCAAUCGUUUGUAUAUGUUAUAAUUAUUGAUAUUGUUUUUUGCGGCAUUUAUUGACCUCUAUUAUAUGGUGGCAUGUAUAAUUAUUGAUAUUGCUUAUUUUCGCUUCAUUUGUAUUAUACAUUGUUAUAAAUUUUGCACUUAUAUUCUAUCAACAAUAAAUAAAUGCUUGGACAAACGUAAGCUUGUACUUACUGACGAAUAUGCAGCCCGUCAGUAGCAACACCAUUGUAGUAAACAUUUCAGAGUUUUUCCCGUUAUGCUUAUAACCGGCUAUAAUAAUUGAUCUUUAAUGUUUCAUGCUUCAGGGUAUUAUACAAAUGUCUCCCAUUUUAUUGAACAAAUGCAAGGGCACAACAACCAAGAUCUUUCUUGUGGGUCUUGCAUAAUUGUAAACUGAUUACAUGGUUUCAUGCUUAUGCACAUCUUAUUAUUCCUUAGUUAAAGUAGGAUUUGUAGUACUUUAUGCUUGAGUUGAUGUAUGUCAUCUGAAGUAGAAUGGAGCCUGAACCAAGUUGUAUGACUUAUGUUCACUAGGUGCACAUACUGCUGCUCUUCUAUAUGGAAUGUGAUACUGGGGUAUUAAUACUUAGUGUUGCUAUCUCAGAUAUUGCUAAAAAAAUCUCCGGUUUUGUAACUUGGUACGCUUGAGUGGUGCAAUACUUUUCAACUAUUUGCAUCUUUAAUUUAAAAACAUUGUAACCCGUUGACGCUGAAAAGUGGCACGAUCAUAAAGAGUACCUUGAACUAUGUCAAGAUUAAUUCAGACUUAUUAUUGAAGUCACUAUGGGAUGGAUCUCUUCCAGAAGAUCAAAAUGGAUAUGAAGAUGGUCUAAAACAGAGCCCCGAUGCAAAAGUUGUGACAAGUUCAAAGAUUGGAUAUAGUAUUGACCCUAUAGUCUCGGUAGCCGAACCGGGACUAAAGGUAUUGGGCUUUAGUACCGACCCUAUAGUCCCGGUUCCCGAACCGGGAGAAGUGGGCCUUAUGAACCGGGACAAAUGGGACUUUUUCUACUAGUGCAUAUUGGACCUGCCCAAUAAAUAUUUCAGAAAUACAUAAUAAUCCUAGAGGCUAGUUUGGACCAUUCACGCAUGUCAAGAGGUGGGACUAAAAUUUAGUCCCACAUUGCUAGUUGAGAGAGAGUUACACCUCCACAUAAGGUGAGCUCUUUCCCCACUUUUAUGAGCAUGAUAAAAAGAGAGGUUCUCACACGCUCCUCCUUUGCCGCCCUUCUCGCCUCGCCUCGCCUCAUCACGACACACUGUGUCGCGCCACGGGCUGUGGGAAUGCCUAGAGCAUGCAUGAAGCUGAAGCGUUUUGCUGAUGUAGUUAGUGGAGAUUGGUUACGAGUUUUGUUCGGCUUUGGCUGCUACAUCUCCGUCUCCCGUCUCUUUGUUUCAUUUCCCGUCGCAGCCUACUGGCCUCCUCUUUCUGUGCUUAUAAAAUAGAGGUCUCUCCUCUCCAUAGACACACAGAAACAGAGCACCACUUGCCUCCUACUACCAAGUUCCAGAGCACUACGCUACCAGGUUCUUCCCCAUCCCGGCUUAUGGUGUGCACCGCCGAUAGGGACAGUAGGCCUCCAGAACCACGCGACAUUGAGUCAUGCACGGGUGAAGGGAAAUAAGGUGUUUGGGGAGCGCUCUAUGCGACUACUGGCUUCUCCACCCCAGAGGUCGCUACAGACGUCGAAGACACUUCCCCCAAUGAUGACUUCUUUUAGGACAUCGGCAACCUCUUCGGUAACAAGGGCGACAGCAUCACGAAUGGCGCCGCCCCUGCUCCUGUCUAGGACGUGUUCACUUCUUCUCUAUUUAAUAUGUUUUUCCUAAUUUUAGUUCAAUUUCAUGUUCUAGCAAUUGGACUAGAUAUGCCAUGUUCAAAUUCACUACUACAUAUGUUAUUUUCUCACUCUCUGAUAGACUACAUGUCUAGUUUAAUCUUUACUAUUAUGUUUAAGUUUUAUCUACUAUUUUUAUGGAUUAAAUCAUAUGGUAAACUGCUCAUAUUCCCAACAGGCCCCAUCUACAUGUAUGGGUGUAACAAACACAUCAUAUGUGGUCAGUCUUCCUUCAUCAAAAUGUUCCAUGGCAAUCCAAUAGGAUUGAUGCCUCUAAUACCAAUUUUUAUUAGAAAAUAUAAGUUUAUUCAAUUAUUGGCAUCAGUAUACAACAUUGCAUUGCAUAAGCUAAGAAACUUUGUGGCUCUCAUUUUAAUAUGGAACCGAACUGUCUACAACAGCACUGAAGAUGAUGCUGGUUGGUUUCGCAUUCCAAUUGAUAAGGUGGGCGAAAGCCUCUUUCUAAGCAGUCACUCUGGCAAGACUCAUGAGUGCAACCCGCUAAAUCUCUGCAUGAGCGGCGUUGAACUACAAUGCAAUACAUCACAUAAAAAAA